rnacentral:rRNA from 1 species
CUACGGGCGGCUGCAGUGGGGAAUAUUGCACAAUGGAGGAAACUCUGAUGCAGCAACGCCGCGUGGAGGAUGACACUUUUCGGAGCGUAAACUCCUUUUAUAUAGGAAGAAGAUGACGGUACUAUAUGAAUAAGCGCCGGCUAACUCCGUGCCAGCAGCCGCGGUAAUACGAAGGGCGCAAGCGUUACUCGGAAUCACUGGGCGUAAAGAGCGUGUAGGCGGAUUAAAAAGUCAGAAGUGAAAUCCUAUAGCUUAACUAUAGAACUGCUUCUGAAACUCUUAAUCUAGAAUAUGGGAGAGGUACAUGGAAUUUCUGGUGUAGGGGUAAAAUCCGUAGAGAUCAGAAGGAAUACCGAUUGCGAAGGCGAUCUACUAGAACAUUAUUGACGCUGAGACGCGAAAGCGUGGGGAGCAAACAGGAUUAGAUACCCCUGUAGUC